rnacentral:rRNA from 1 species
CAGGCCUAACACAUGCAAGUCGAGUGGAGCACGGGUGAGCGGCGGACGGGUGAGUAACGCGUGGGAAUAAGCCUCUUGGUACGGAAUAGCCUCUGGAAACGGAGAGUAAUACCGUAUGUGCCCUUUGGGGGAAAGAUUUAUCGCCAAGAGAUUAGCCCGCGUUGGAUUAGGUAGUUGGUGGGGUAAUGGCCUACCAAGCCGACGAUCCAUAGCUGGUUUGAGAGGAUGAUCAGCCACACUGGGACUGAGACACGGCCCAGACUCCUACGGGAGGCAGCAGUGGGGAAUCUUAGACAAUGGACGCAAGUCUGAUCUAGCCAUGCCGCGUGUGUGAUGAAGGCCUUAGGGUCGUAAAGCACUUUCGCCUGUGAUGAUAAUGACAGUAGCAGGUAAAGAAACCCCGGCUAACUCCGUGCCAGCAGCCGCGGUAAUACGGAGGGGGUUAGCGUUGUUCGGAAUUACUGGGCGUAAAGCGCGCGUAGGCGGAUUAGUCAGUCAGAGGUGAAAUCCCAGGGCUCAACCCUGGAACUGCCUUUGAUACUGCUAGUCUUGAGUUCGAGAGAGGUGAGUGGAAUUCCGAGUGUAGAGGUGAAAUUCGUAGAUAUUCGGAGGAACACCAGUGGCGAAGGCGGCUCACUGGCUCGAUACU